AGUGAACGCUGGCGGUAGGCCUAACACAUGCAAGUCGAACGGCAGCACAGUAAGAGCUUGCUCUUACGGGUGGCGAGUGGCGGACGGGUGAGGAAUACAUCGGAAUCUACUUUUUCGUGGGGGAUAACGUAGGGAAACUUACGCUAUUACCGCAUACGACCUACGGGUGAAAGCAGGGGAUCUUCGGACCUUGCGCGAUUGAAUGAGCCGAUGUCGGAUUAGCUAGUUGGCGGGGUAAAGGCCCACCAAGGCGACGAUCCGUAGCUGGUCUGAGGGGAUGAUCAGCCACACUGGAACUGAGACACGGUCCAGACUCCUACGGGAGGCAGCAGUGGGGAAUAUUGGACAAUGGGCGCAAGCCUGAUCCAGCCAUACCGCGUGGGUGAAGAAGGCCUUCGGGUUGUAAAGCCCUUUUGUUGGGAAAGAAAAGCAGCAGGUUAAUACCCCGCUGUUCUGACGGUACCCAAAGAAUAAGCACCGGCUAACUUCGUG
rnacentral:rRNA from 1 species